UACGUAGGUGGCGAGCGUUGUCCGGAUUUACUGGGCGUAAAGGGCGUGCAGGCGGUUUGUUAAGUGCAGAGUGAAAGCUCCCGGCUCAACUGGGAGAGGUCUUUGCAUACUGGCAAACUCGAGGGAGGCAGAGGAAAGUGGAAUUCCCGGUGUAGUGGUGAUAUGCGUAGAGAUCGGGAGGAACAUCAGUGGCGAAGGCGGCCAUCUGGGACAACACUGACGCUGAAGCACGAAAGCGUGGGGAGCAAACAGG
rnacentral:rRNA from 1 species